rnacentral:sRNA from 1 species
UAUCCCCCAAACUAAGGGGGGAUGAGAACCACCGACCGGGGUUCGACAGCUGGCGCAGCCAGUUGGACAGACGACGAGCUUGCGAGGAGACUGCCCGAAGGGCGAGCGCAGCGAGUCAAUCCCCCCCUCACCGCCA